CACUGAAAACAGGCCAGAAAACCUUGGAUUUCUUCUACAUUGUCUUGUCCAAAGGCAGCGUGGCGCAAAAUGGUCGUUUGUCUGUGAAUGUGAAUAGUAAAAAAA